ACACUCCUGCGGGAGGCAGCAGUGGGGAAUAUUGGACAAUGGGCGCAAGCCUGAUCCAGCCAUGCCGCGUGAGUGAUGAAGGCCCUAGGGUUGUAAAGCUCUUUCACCGGUGAAGAUAAUGACGGUAACCGGAGAAGAAGCCCCGGCUAACUUCGUGCCAGCAGCCGCGGUAAUACGAAGGGGGCUAGCGUUGUUCGGAUUUACUGGGCGUAAAGCGCACGUAGGCGGACUAUUAAGUCAGGGGUGAAAUCCCGGGGCUCAACCCCGGAACUGCCUUUGAUACUGGUAGUCUUGAGUUCGAGAGGGGUGAGUGGAAUUCCGAGUGUAGGGGUGAAAUUCGUAGAUAUUCGGAGGAACACCAGUGGCGAAGGCGGCUCACUGGCUCGAUACUGACGCUGAGGUGCGAAAGCGUGGGGAGCAAACAGGAUUAGAAACCCUGGUAGUCCCAUGAU
rnacentral:rRNA from 1 species